rnacentral:rRNA from 1 species
CAGUCGCCGCGGUAAUACAGAGGAUGCAAGCGUUAUCCGGAAUGAUUGGGCGUAAAGCGUCUGUAGGUGGCUUUUCAAGUCCGCCGUCAAAUCCCAGGGCUCAACCCUGGACAGGCGGUGGAAACUACCAAGCUGGAGUACAGUAGGGGCAGAGGGAAUUUCUGGUGGAGCGGUGAAAUGCGUUGAGAUCGGAAAGAACACCAACGGCGAAAGCACUCUGCUGGGCCGACACUGACACUGAGAGACGAAAGCUAGGGGAGCAAAUGGGAUUAGAUACCCCUGUAGUCCCUGUCUCUUAUAA